rnacentral:rRNA from 1 species
UACGUAGGGGGCAAGCGUUGUCCGGAUUUAUUGGGCGUAAAGAGCGUGUAGGCGGCUUUACAGGUCCGUUGUGAAAACUCGAGGCUCAACCUCGAGACGCCGGUGGAAACCGUAAAGCUAGAGUCCGGAAGAGGAGAGUGGAAUUCCUGGUGUAGCGGUGAAAUGCGCAGAUAUCAGGAGGAACACCCGUGGCGAAGGCGGCUAUCUGGACAGAGUCUGACGCUGAGGCGCGAAAGCUAGGGGAGCAAACAGG